GAGGGGGAGAGAGGCACACAGACAGACAGAAAGGGAGAGACAGAAACAGAGUAAAAGAGAUAGAGGGAGGAGAGGAAGAGGGGGGAAGGAAGAGGAUGGAGGAAAAAACAAAUCAACAGAGUGACCCCUUGAGUGAGAGAUGGAUGGGUAUAUUGAAAUAGCAAGGGAACAUUACAUAAUUAGAAAAAAUUAACCAGGAAAUGGUAGGUGAAUGGUCAAAGACAAAGAUACAGGGAGAGAAAAAUUGAUUGAGAAAGAUAGAUACAGCAGGGUGACAAUGAUUGAUGCACAGGCACUGAAAGUGUGAAUGGAGAAAUUCAGGCUGUAGGUAAGGUGACAGAGAGAUCUAACUAGCAGAAAGUGAAUGAACAGUAUGAAAUGUAAGAUGGCCGAAUUGGGAAUUAGCAGGAAAGAGAUAAAUGAACAAAAUGAAUCUUGUUAUAGAGAAUGAGACAAACGGAUCUCUUAGACUAGACACUUGGAGAUAAAGAAAUAAAAAGUUAGAAAGAAUUCAGCAUUGCAAAACCCAUGGCUGAAUAGCCCAAGAGAAGCAUGGAAUAGUGAAUGCUAAUAUUAAAAACCCAAGAAAAAUGGAAGAGUGUGUAAGAUAUCAAAAAAUGAAUUCGUGGAGAAAUCAGAAUCACAAAGAAAAAAUGGUAAGAGAGAUAAAAAUACAUGGAAAAAGUUAUACUAAGUGAGAGAUUCUUGGCUGAAGAUGCAUGUAUGAGUGAAUAGUUAAUAGUCAAAAUUGAAAUUAGAAAGAAGGAAGGAAUGACGAGAGUUCUACAAUGCAAGAUGAAGUGAGAACAGUUGGCAAGACUGAAAUGAAAUGGUUAGACGGAGCCAUGUUCGAAAGGAUAUUUAGAUUAGCUGAAGAAAGGAGACGUGAAUGGAUGGCAAGGCCUAGAAGGUAACAGAUGAAUGAAUAUUGAGGCAAAAGUAGCAAGGAUAUUGUGAUUACAAAGAGCUGGAAAAUGAAAAGCAAACGACUAUAUUGAGAAUUAGAUAUGGAAUAUUUGCUGAGAUCCUGACACUGAGAUUCAGGUGAAAGUACAAAUCUAGAAAGUAAGGUUUAGAUACUUAGAAAAACAACCCAAGUGGGAAAUGGAAGUGUAAAGUCAAGUCCCAAGUCAGAAUUACCUGCUUAGAAAAACACUCUGGAAUUGGCUGGGGAGAUAUGGAUUAAUGGAAAGGCUUAGACAGGGACGAAUGCAUUACUUGCAGGGACAGGUGGGAGUUAGGUGUGUAUACCAGCAGGGAGGUACUCAGAGAGACAGACAGACAGGAGGGAAGAGACAGAGACAGGAGUGGGGAGAGAGACAAACAAACAGAAAGGGAGAGACAGAGUGAAAGAGGGGGAAGUUAGGUGUGUAUACCAGUAAUACAGAUGUGAGGAAUAGGGUAAAAUGAGGGUGGGAAUAAUAGAGAAUUCUAGGAGGGAAAGAAAGAUAAAAGAACAGAAGGAGGGUUAGGCGUGAUCAAGAGAGACCCAAAUGGAGCUACACAACGGACGGAUCACAGCGAUGGAUUCCAUGGAGAAAAUGCAACGGAUCAAGAAACAGCUGGAGUGGAUCUGUGAUGAAGGAAUACAGAUCAGCAAACAGCAAUCCUGAGAGGUGAACAUUUACAGCUUUGGAGGCUACCUCACGAAUCCAGGAGAUCCAGAGACUUCGAAUAAGAGUUGUCCGACAAGAAGGAACUGUUUUCUUGCAACUGGACCCAUUUUUGGAGAAAUGAACAUACAUCGGGACUGGAAUGGACCAUGUGACCUUGGAAAGUUCAGAAGAGCUACUGGAGGUUCGGGAGCUUGAGUCCGAGACAAACUUGGUAAUCGCCGAGCCUAGUCUGCCAGCACGGCCCCAAGGGACAGCCAAGACGCCAGGUCCUACAAGCAAGAAAGCAACUCUGUCCAUUGCGCCACGUUCAGAAUUUAACAUGGCACGCAAAUGCAUUGGAGCAGAAACUUUAAGUUUCAUCUCACUUUCCUCAGGAACUAAGGUGGUUUGGGGGAAUAUAUGCCCUGGACUGUGUCUUCUCAGUGAAUAGAUCUUUGUAACAGGAAAUUGAUGUCUAUUGGUUAAAAGGAGGCAAUAAUAAACCCACAAGCACUGGCAACUGAUACUGAAUAAAAAACAUUGUUAAAGGCUCAGGCCAAAAGCAUUAGAACAAAACAUUUUCAAUCUUUCAGAGACAGUCCUAGAACCCUGAGGUGAGAUGGAGGAGCUGACCCUGGAAAGUCAAAGCUGCAGAGCACAGCCUGCAUACUCAGUUUCUCUCCUUACUGUUUCUUAGGAUCUUUGGGGAUGAAAGAGAGGGGAAGACUGGGAGGAAAAGCAGGAGGAGCAGUCUAAAUAUGAUUAAGGACCAAGUAUCACAUCUAGGAGCUCUGAAAUUUGUUGCCUUGUGUUUGUGCUGUUGUUUUUUUUGUUUUGUUUUGUUUUGUUUUUUAACAUGACCACUUUAUAUUGAUUGCAUCUUAUAAAUGAAAGAUUUAUCCAGAAUAAGGUAAUUCCAGAAUUGGGGCAGAAUGUGGCUGUAGAUUUUAUUUUUCUUAUUACUGAGAUAUAUGUAUUGCACCUUUAACUUAAAUUAAGGAGCAGGCCAGGACCACAUGCCUCCAUGGGAAGGGAACUAGUCUGAGUUUGUUCAGGCUGAGUUCCCUCUUGUAGCCAAUGGAGAUGCUAAAACAUUUGAGAAAGGCUAUUUGGGGGAGGUACCAGUGCAAGUCUAAUGGUGCCUCUAGGGUAAUGGCUGCAAUAGUGUCGCAUAGUCAACAAUUCAUAUGCUUCCCUCUCUCUUUAGAUGAUUACUAUCAUAUCUACCUACUAGGGCUUCAGGAUGGUGGCACAGGAACUGUGUGGACCAAGUCCAAUUCCAAGUAUUUCAUGCAGCCUUUACCAUUGUCACAGAGAGAUGAUGAUGAUCACAAGACAACUUUCCAAAAUUUAGGGGAGUCGGUGAAAGCAGUCCUCAAAAUCAUAUUUUCUCUCUGAAAACAUUAAUAUGAUGAAGAAAGAAUAUUAUUGACUGAGUAAUCUAAUCCUGGAAUACUAGGAUGAUUAGGAGAAACUUACCAAAUUUAGGGGAGUCGGUGAAAGCAGUCCUCAAAAUCAUAUUUUCUCUCUGAAAACAUUAAUAUGAUGAAGAAAGAAUAUUUUUGACUGAGUAGUCUAAUCCUGCAACGCUAGGGUGACCAGGAAAAACUUACCAAAAUUUAGGGGAGUCAGUGAAUGCAGUCCCCCAAAUCAUAUUUUCUCUCUGAAAACAUUAACAUGACGGAGAAAGAAUAUUUUUGACUGAGUAAUCUAAUCCUGGAACGCUAGAAUAACCAGGAGAAACUUACCAAAAUUUAGGGUAGUUGGUGAAAGCAGUCCCCAAAAUCAUAUUUUCUCUCUGAAAACAUUAACACAAUGGAGAAAGAAUAUUUUUGACUGAGUAAUCUAAUCCUGGAAUACUAGGAUGAUUAGGAGAAACUUACCAAAUUUAGGGGAGUCGGUGAAAGCAGUCCCCCAAAUCAUAUUUUCGCUCUGAAAAUAUUAACACAAUGGAGAAAUAAUUUUAUUAAUUGAGUAAUCUAAUCCUGGAACUCUAGGAUUUACUUACAAAAUGUAAAAGAAAAUUCUUCACAUGCUGAAAGAAUCAAAUUGAGAGUGUCAGUCAAGCAGCUUUACAAUUGGAAGCACAGAAACUAAGACUAUUGCCCAUUUCAUCAGUGUGCCCCAGGGGCUGAGGAAGGUGGGAGAGGAUAAGGAUGGGACAAAACAGCUCCCACUUGUGGGGUGGAACCUCAUCACAAGUAUAUAUUUAUGUUGGAUCCUUUUCCUGAACCCAGGAAGUAUCUUCACUGUAUAUGUACAUCCAGGAUGACAGUGAAUCCCACCCCAUCCUUCCCCUACCAGCAGCAAAAAGGGAGCAAGCCACAGUUCUCAGACUCUCCCUCCACUGCUAUAAAGGAGAGAGCGUCAACCCACAACUGUCAGCUCCCUUCCCUCUUCUCUUUCUCAUCAACUGCAAAGAAAGAACACCCAGUCACCAGAGUUGACACUAGGAAAUUUUGGGGGGACAAUAAUUCCAGGUGUCUUGCUGUGGGUUUGGAGUGGAGAUAUAGCCUCUUCCACUCUCAAAUUAGACACAAAGGAAAUAAAUCCUUCAUUAAAUCCCAUUGUUGCUGUUAAUUGGAACUAAGAAAUAAUGAGAGGUAGUUAUCUAUGCCCUAUGACACGAGACGUGCCUCUGGAUUCCUCCAGGAAGUGGAAAGUAUUGGGAUGGUUAGCGAGGAUUGUCUGAAGGGUAAGGGGAUAGUGGGGGGUGGUCAGCAAGUAGGCUUUGGGUGCCUUCUCACAGUCCUGCAAAUGGGGAAGGGAGGGACAACUUUGCUCCUAAUCCACGUGUAUAUGCUCCCCAUUCCCUCCUCCCUCCCAGCAUUGUACCCUCUGUUGCCAGGCUCCGUGCCCUUCCCUCUACUUAGUUCCCAUCAGCCAGCAAAAAGGAGAGAGUGACUAUACCUCUUUUUUCCUCCAAGCAGAACAAGUAAUCUUUGUAUGAAGUUAUAAUUUAGCUUAAUUUACUUAAAAACUUUCCCAUUUUAUAAAAAGAGAACAGUUUGGAACAAAAAAAGCAACUCUGCAAGAAAAAGAUUAGUGCUAAAUGGAAUCCAGCUCCCGCAGCCCGAUGCUCAGGAUCAGUAAAGGGCAUUACCAAGAUGAUUCCUUGCAUGUAUAGCUUGGACCACAUGGAAGUUGAGGUCCCUGUCAACUCUCACCAUCUAUAACCCUGUGGGUCUCAACUUUAAUACUCCUCUCAGAGAGUUCUACCAGUAGACAUACCCCCACCCAAUGUAGACACCUAAAGAAUGGGAACUAAAGAGGGCCCAAGUUUGACCCCAAGCGGAGAGCUAACUAAAAUGGCAGAAAAGGUCAGACUUGCAUAGUAUUAGAGAGACAGAAAUGGCAUGAAAUGAAACAAAAUUAAAUACAAGCACUUGAAGCAAGGGAGUUUAAACACAAGGUAUCGCUCAGGAAGGGAGAGUGGCUAUCUGACAUAAAGAAAACAGGAAAUGGGGAGCAGGGUGCUCUGGGAGCUCAACCCCUGCUUCUGUUCCUUUUCCAGAGAUAUCCUGCAUUGAAAUACAACUUCAAGCUCAUUCCCCAUGAUGAAUGCUCUACUCCUAGUGGGACUAAGAAAAUAAAUGACUGUGUCUGGGAGGGAGGAGCUUGUGUCUUCUUGGGAAUGCCCAAAGCACCCCAACAGCCUGUGGUCGAUUUCCACUCUUCUGAUUAAAACUUUUAUCAAGUA